GCUGGAAGUGCAUUUGCUAAAGAACCUCACUUCUACCGAUCUCAUUUUCCACGCACUUACAAACGGACCAGAGGUUGCAAAAGUGAGUCUCUCCUCGCUUCUACCGAUCUCAUUUUCCACGCACUUACAAACGGACCAGUGGUUGCAAAAGGUCUUUGCAAAUAUCAUUCAGGUGGAAGCAGAACCCUGCUGCCCGUGUCUGGGUGGGCGAGAGACUGGGGAAACACGGCCAGGAAGCAGCCCGGCAGAUGGGGGCUGAGCGCACUGGCAGGGGCAGGAGGAGCUGCAGAUCUUUUCUCAGUUGAGCUUCAGAUGAGACCACAGCCCCAGCCAGCUUCUUAAGUGCAGCCUCAUAAGAAACCGUAAGCAGAGAACCAAGAUAAACCAUGCCUGAACUCCUGAUCCACAGAAACUGUGAAAUAGAUCUGCCUGGAACCUGCCGGCCCCCUGCAGCUGGCUUCUUAAAUGCCUGCAGCUGGUGCAAGCCUCUCACUCCAAGAUGUUUCCACCCCAGACACAUCCCAGAGCCCCCUGCAUCUCCUGGGAGGACGAGGAUGGAUGGAAGCGUGCUGCCAACGCUGGGACACCUGCUUGCUUUCUGGGCAGUGGCCAGGAAAUCGCAUCUGCUGCCAGAAGAGAGCACCUGCACAUCCCGGAGAAGGGAAGGGGACAGAGCCGUGUGAUUCUAGCAGAGGAACACCCAUAGGAUUCCUUCUGUUGUUCCCAAGGUCCAGGCUCCCAGGCUGAGUAGGCAGGAAGGAGAAUGUGUCUUCACACAGGAAGCCUCACUGCCCAGAACAUGGGACAGAUCUAGCUGGAGCUGUGCUCAAACAGCUGUGGAGGCAUUAUAAAUCUCUCUCCCCGAGAUGAGGUUCAGAGGCUCUUGACAUGCCCUGCUAAUGGUAAAUCUUCCAGUGCCCACAGAGCAAGCCCUGGACUCUUAGAGCAUCAAGGUGAGACUGCCUGCCCCCCUUAAGCCUGUUAAUGGCAUCAGUGAUGUAUUCCCCUCCAAAUGUGGAAGGCUGCCUCUUUCUUCAUUGGAAGCAUCAAGGGAGUUUUAACUGUAAAACAGACUGUGCUUCAAAUCCCAUCUAAAUGCCUCAUCCUGAAGCUCUGACCUGCCACUUUUCUGCAAAUGACACUGGGUGAUUUGAAUGGGAUUAGAUUGGACAGUGGCCCCUGGCUGUUGUUUAAGUUUGUGUGGGUUUUGUUGUUUGUUUGUUUUAAUGCAACCUGUCUUUAAAUCUUCACUUUCAAAAAAAAAAAAAAGUGGUCAUUAGCCUUAUUUUUUAUUUAGAGGAUGUGAAGUCAGAAGUUCCCUUCCCUGAUUUAUUACCUCAUAGGUUUAUGACUUUGAAGAAUCAUUUCAUCUCUUUUAGUUUCCUCAUCUGUAGAAAGGUGAUUGUAAACUCUUUCUUAUCGGCUGGAUACAAAGAUGAAAUGAGAUAUCCU
rnacentral:lncRNA from 1 species